AAUAAGAGUAGUUUUACACUAUUUAUCUUUAACGUUUCAUCGUUUAUUUUAUUUGAAUAAAUUUUAUGAUUACUAUUUUUAUUAUUAUUAUAUGAUAAAACAUGAAUAGUACUUUAUGUGUGUGACUAAUUUUUUUAAAAAUUUUUAAUAAUUUUUUUAAAUAAGACGAACGGUAACACGGAUUUUCACCUCUGUAUUUAUU
rfam:Oryza nivara chromosome 3, whole genome shotgun sequence.